rnacentral:rRNA from 1 species
ACGGAAGGCAGCAGUCGGGAAUAUUGCGCAAUGGAGGAAACUCUGACGCAGUGACGCCGCGUGCAGGAAGAAGGUUUUCGGAUUGUAAACUGCUUUAGACAGGGAAGAAAAAGGACAGUACCUGUAGAAUAAGCUCCGGCUAACUACGUGCCAGCAGCCGCGGUAAUACGUAGGGAGCGAGCGUUAUCCGGAUUUAUUGGGUGUAAAGGGUGCGUAGACGGGAAUGCAAGUUGUUUGAAAUCCCUCGGCUUAACUGAGGAACUGCAAGCAAAACUACAUUUCUUGAGUGCUGGAGAGGAAAGUGGAAUUCCUAGUGUAGCGGUGAAAUGCGUAGAUAUUAGGAGGAACACCAGUGGCGAAGGCGACUUUCUGGACAGUAACUGACGUUGAGGCACGAAAGUGUGGGGAGCAAACAGGAUUAGAUACCCUGGUA